AAGGCAGCAGAUUCUGAACCUUCUUCCUGCAAGAAAUUAAACUUAUUUUGAAUGCUUUCUUCUCACUUGAUGUUGGGCAAGUGACAAACACCUUGGGAUCAGUCUUCUCAUCUGCAAAGUGACAAUGUUUGCACCUCUUCUGUCCACUGCUCAUCCUGCUAUGAAAGUGAAGAGGAGAGACAUGUGUAUCCCACACACUGCCAAGGGUGCAGACCAUGAGAGCAGGUUCAGCCUCCCAUUGUCAAUUUGAGACCUCUGUUCCUGAUGCCACGAGAAGCGGAAAAAUCAACUGUUGUUGACAAAUGCUUCCAUAUGUGCCUUGAGAUGUCACUGAUUCAGACCCACA
rnacentral:lncRNA from 1 species